rnacentral:sRNA from 1 species
CGCUAACCUUACAAGUUUUGCAAGGUAUGCACAAAAAACCAACCAAGGUAUAGAGCUCGUCGUCAGAGCACUUUGUUGGUCAUAUCCCGAAAGGGGUAUGGUCUCGCAAGAGAU